rnacentral:tRNA from 1 species
GUAGUCGUGGCCGAGUGGUUAAGACGACAGACUUGAAAUCUGUUGGGAUAUUCCCGCGCAGGUUCAAAUCCUGCCGAGUACG